CCUACGGGAGGCAGCAGUGGGGAAUAUUGGGCAAUGGGCGCAAGCCUGACCCAGCAACGCCGCGUGAAGGAAGAAGGCCUUCGGGUUGUAAACUUCUUUUAUGAGGGACGAGCAGAAGACGGUACCUCUUGAAUAAGCCACGGCUAACGACGUGCCAGCAGCCGCGGUAAUACGUAGGUGGCAAGCGUUGUCCGGAUUUACUGGGUGUAAAGGGCGUGUAGGCGGGGUGACAAGUUAGAUGUGAAAUUCCAGGGCUCAACCCCGGGCCUGCAUUUGAAACUGUUAGUCUUGAGUGUAGGAGAGGCAAGCGGAAUUCCUAGUGUAGCGGUGAAAUGCGUAGAUAUUAGGAGGAACACCAGUGGCGAAGGCGGCCUGCUGGACGGCAACUGACGGUGAGGCGCGAAAGCGUGGGGAGCAAACAGGAUUAGAUACCCUUGUAGUC
rnacentral:rRNA from 1 species